GACGAACGCUGGCGGCGUGCCUAAUACAUGCAAGUCGAGCGCAGGAAGUCAUCCGAACCCUUCGGGGGGACGGUGACGGAAUGAGCGGCGGACGGGUGAGUAACACGUAAAGAACCUGCCCUCAGGUCUGGGAUAACCAUGAGAAAUCGGGGCUAAUACCGGAUGGGUCAUCGGACCGCAUGGUCCGAGGAUGAAAGGCGCUUCGGCGUCGCCUGGGGAUGGCUUUGCGGUGCAUUGGCUAGUUGGUGGGGUAACGGCCCACCAAGGCGACGAUGCAUAGCCGACCUGAGAGGGUGAUCGGCCACACUGGGACUGAGACACGGCCCAGACUCCUACGGGAGGCAGCAGUAGGGAAUCUUCCACAAUGGACGAAAGUCUGAUGGAGCAACGCCGCGUGAACGAUGAAGGCCCUCGGGUCGUAAAGUUCUGUUGUAAGGGAAGAACAAGUGCCGCAGGCAAUGGCGGCACCUUGACGUACCUACGAGAAG
rnacentral:rRNA from 1 species